rnacentral:rRNA from 1 species
CGGGGGGAGCAAGCGUUGUUCGGAAUCACUGGGCGUAAAGGGCGUGUAGGCGGUCAAGUAAGUGGAAUGUGAAAGCCCCCGGCUCACCCGGGGAUCUGCAUCCCAAACUGCUUGGCUUGAGUACGGGAGAGGAUAGGGGAAUUCCUGGUGUAGCGGUGAAAUGCGUAGAUAUCAGGAGGAACACCGGUGGCGAAGGCGCCUAUCCGGCCCGAUACUGACGCUGAUGCGCGAAAGCUAGGGGAGCAAACGGGAUUAGAUACCCCGGUAGUCCUAGCCGUAAACGGUGAUCACUAGGUGUUGGAGGCAUCGACCCCUCCAGUGCCGCAGCUAACGCAUUAAGUGAUCCGCCUGGGGAGUACGGCCGCAAGGUUG